AACGUAGGUUCCGAGCGUUAUCCGGAUUUACUGGGCGUAAAGCGCGUUCAGGCGGUUUGGCAAGUCGGGCAUGAAAUCUCUCGGCUCAACCGGGAGAGGUUGUCCGAUACUGCUGGACUUGAGGGCAGUAGAGGGUGGUGGAAUUCCGGGUGUAGCGGUGAAAUGCGUAGAUAUCUGCAGGAACACCCGUGGCGAAAGCGGCGCGCUGGACCACUACUGACGCUGAGGAACGAAAGCUAGGGGAGCAAACAGG
rnacentral:rRNA from 1 species